UACGUAGGGUGCAAGCGUUGUCCGGAAUUAUUGGGCGUAAAGAGCUCGUAGGCGGUCUGUUGCGUCGGCUGUGAAAACCCGGGGCUCAACUCCGGGCCUGCAGCCGAUACGGGCAGACUAGAGUUCGGCAGGGGAGACUGGAAUUCCUGGUGUAGCGGUGAAAUGCGCAGAUAUCAGGAGGAAUACCGAUGGCGAAGGCAGGUCUCUGGGCUGACACUGACGCUCAUGCACGAAAGCGUGGGAGC
rnacentral:rRNA from 1 species